UUAAGUAGUUUUAAUACUUUCAGAACACUUGACAAGAGCUUUAGAAAAAACACCAUUUAUGGAAUAUGUUUCAACAAGACGUGUCUCGAUCAUUACGGGGGAACUAAAGAUUGUUCAUACAAGAAUUGGGGUUACUUAUAAGCCCAAUGCAUGGAUAUAAACAUGGAUGUUGAGUAAAGCCCUAGGGAGGACUCUCUUAUAUUAGCUAUGGUGGCCUUUCUGUGAAGAGACCUUUCAUGUAACCCUGAGGGGCUUUUCCAUUCAACGGUGACUUGUUCAAAGGCUGUAUUAUAUGUGAGUUUACCAUAACUGCUCUUUAAAAUAUUGUAAGGGUACCUAAUGUUUUUUUCCCUUUUUGGAUUAUUUUGGUUGGUACGAUCGAUAUAAGUGGUAUGUAUCUGUCAAUGUUGGUGGUUACUUUGAUCUUAUCUUUCAUAUUCCGAGAGAUGAAUUUCGAUCAGUUAAUUGUUUAUUCCGUGACAAGAUCAAUUCGAUCAGUUUUCCUUAGACAAGAUCAA